rnacentral:rRNA from 1 species
GAUGAACGCUGGCGGCGUGCUUAAUACAUGCAAGUCGAACGGAGCUGAUGAGAAGCUUGCUUUUUAUCAGUUUAGUGGCGGACGGGUGAGUAACGCGUGGAUAACCUGCCUCGCACAGGGGGAUAGCAGCUGGAAACGGCUGGUAAUACCGCAUAAGACCACGGUCCCGCAUGGGACAGGGGUAAAAGAUUUAUCGGUGCGAGAUGGAUCCGCGUCUGAUUAGCUUGUUGGCGGGGUAACGGCCCACCAAGGCAACGAUCAGUAGCCGGCCUGAGAGGGUGAACGGCCACAUUGGGACUGAGACACGGCCCAAACUCC